AUAACAACAAAAAAAACAACCUGAUGACCCUGGUCUUUCAUAGCACCCAAUGCUUUUUUGCUGACAUCUAGGAAUAUUGAUUCCCAUGCAGGAGAGCUUUGUUUCUGUAGCAGAUGGCCUCACAGCAAUAAUUGUGCUGUAUGUACAACAUAACAAUGAAAUAUCCCUACAGAACUAAAAAUUCCAAAUUGCAUCAUUCCUGAAAAAAGAAAUUUAGAGUAUGAAAUGACCUGGUUAAGAAAGAGGAGAAAUUAAAAAGAUUUCUAGCAUUUUGAGCAUGUUUUAGAAAUUUGAUCACUAUAUUUAAAAUCAUGAAAAUGAUUUCUUAUACUGAUACUUGCUCACAUUUAAGUCAAUCUUCAGCUGUUACUUCAGUAAAGGAAGAAAUAAGAGUGCCCUUUGGUUCUGAAUCCUUCAGAAUGUUCUUAAGUAAUUUUAUAUCUGCUGGAUUUUCAUUUAAUCAUUUUUAGGAAAUAAUAUGCUUUAUUAUUAUGUAGCUUUCUAUGCGUAUGGCAGGCUCAUCAAUAGCCCAGGGGGAGGCAGACAGCCAAUUCUUUUAUGUAAGGAAGCUACUUUCCAAUCCCCAAUCUCAGUGAUCUGGGAGAUACUUCAUUUCUUUGAAAAGAGAGGGCCUUGAAUAAAUGCUUGCUUUUACUUUUCUCACAUACUCAGAAAUCCAAGAAGGGCGCUUCUCUUAAUCUAUUUGUGUCACAGAGAAAUGAUUCAUUCCACAAUAAACUGCCUUAAGGGAAGCAGAUAACCCAAAUAUUGAGAAAUGUAGGCAUCCAUGACCUUUGUUGACUUUGAACAUCUGUAGCCAAAAGGUUACAAAUGAGGUCUUGCAUAGAAAACCUAUUAUCAGCUUAUUAUUAGGAACAUCUAAGAUAAUGUCAUGACUAACUAAACAAUAUGCUGUUUUCUUUAAACUGUUGCAAUAAUUAAUAGGAUGUAUCAUCAGGAUACACUAUAGAACUCAGG